rnacentral:rRNA from 1 species
UACGUAGGGACCAAGCGUUGUUCGGAUUUACUGGGCUUAAAGAGUUCGUAGGCGGCGCAGAAAGUGGGGUGUGAAAGCCCUCGGCUCAACCGAGGAAUUGCGCUCCAAACUACUGUGCUCGAGGAACCUAGAGGUGAGCAGAACUGAUGGUGGAGCGGUGAAAUGCGUUGAUAUCAUCAGGAAUACCGGAGGCGAAGGCGGCUCACUGGGGGUUUUCUGACGCUGAGGAACGAAAGCCAGGGGAGCGAACGGG